rnacentral:rRNA from 1 species
GAAAGCAUUUGCCAAGGACGUUUUCAUUAAUCAAGAACGAAAGUUAGGGGAUCGAAGAUGAUCAGAUACCGUCGUAGUCUUAACCAUAAACUAUGCCGACUAGGGAUCGGGUGUUGUCCUUUUUUUGGCGCACUCGGCACCUUACGAGAAAUCAAAGUUUUUGGGUUCUGGGGGGAGUAUGGUCGCAAGGCUGAAACUUAAAGGAAUUGACGGAAGGGCACCACCAGGAGUGGAGCCUGCGGCUUAAUUUGACUCAACACGGGGAAACUCACCAGGUCCAGACACAAUAAGGAUUGACAGAUUGAGAGCUCUUUCUUGAUUUUGUGGGUGGUGGUGCAUGGCCGUUCUUAGUUGGUGGAGUGAUUUGUCUGCUUAAUUGCGAUAACGAACGAGACCUUAACCUACUAAAUAGUGCUGCUAGCAUUUGCUGGUACGACACUUCUUAGAGGGACUACCGAUUUCAAGUCGGUGGAAGUUUGAGGCAAUAACAGGUCUGUGAUGCCCUUAGACGUUCUGGGCCGCACGCGCGCUACACUGACGGAGCCAGCGAGUAUUAACCUUGGCCGAGAGGUCCGGGAAAUCUUGUGAAACUCCGUCGUGCUGGGGAUAGAGCAUUGUAAUUAUUGCUCUUCAACGAGGAUUCCUAG